UACGAAGGGGGCUAGCGUUGUUCGGAAUCACUGGGCGUAAAGCGCGUGUAGGCGGAUCGUUAAGUCGGGGGUGAAAUCCUGAGGCUCAACCUCAGAACUGCCUUCGAUACUGGCGAUCUUAGAGUCCGGGAGAGGUGAGUGGAACUCCUAGUGUAGAGGUGAAAUUCGUAGAUAUUAGGAAGAACACCAGUGGCGAAGGCGGCUCACUGGCCCGGUACUGACGCUGAGGCGCGAAAGCGUGGGGAGCGAACAGG
rnacentral:rRNA from 1 species